UACGUAGGGUGCGAGCGUUGUCCGGAAUUAUUGGGCGUAAAGGGCUCGUAGGCGGUUUGUCGCGUCGGGAGUGAAAACCUACAGCUUAACUGUGGGCUUGCUUUCGAUACGGGCAGACUAGAGGUAUGCAGGGGAGAACGGAAUUCCUGGUGUAGCGGUGGAAUGCGCAGAUAUCAGGAAGAACACCGGUGGCGAAGGCGGCUCUCUGGGCCUUACCUGACGCUGAGGAGCGAAAGCGUGGGUAGCGAACAGG
rnacentral:rRNA from 1 species